rnacentral:rRNA from 1 species
AUUGAACGCUGGCGGCAGGCCUAACACAUGCAAGUCGAGCGAGCGGCGGACGGGUGAGUCAUGUCUGGGAACCUGCCUGAUGGAGGGGGAUAACUACUGGAAACGGUAGCUAAUACCGCAUACCAUCAGAUGAACCCAUAUGGGAUUAGCUUGUAGGUGGGGUAAAGGCUCACCUAGGCGACGAUCCCUAGCUGGUCUGAGAGGAUGCACAGCCACACUGGAACUGAGACACGGCCCAGACUCCGACGGGAGGCAGCAGUGGGGAAUAUUGCACAAUGGGCGCAAGCCUGAUGCAGCCAUGCCGCGUGUAUGAAGAAGGCCUUCGGGUUGUAAAGUACUUUCAGUCGGGAGGCGUUACCGACAGAAGAAGCACCGGCUGACUCCGUGCCAGCAGCCGCGGUAAUUC